rnacentral:rRNA from 1 species
UGCGUAGGCGGAUUAAUAAGUCAGUGGUGAAAGCCUGCAGCUUAACUGUAGAAUUGCCAUUGAUACUGUUAAUCUUGAGUUCAGUUGAGGUGGGCGGAAUGUGUCAUGUAGCGGUGAAAUGCUUAGAUAUGACACAGAACACCAAUUGCGAAGGCAGCUCGCUAAACUGACACUGACGCUGAGGCACGAAAGCGUGGGGAGCGAACAGGAUUAGAUACCCUGGUAGUCC